rnacentral:lncRNA from 1 species
UUUUUUUUUUUUUUUGAGUUGUAUGAAAAGUUAGCAAUUGCCCAGUUCUUGGAUUUUGAACCUGGGAACCUUGGAUUGAAGUUGGAGAUCCCCCUAAACUCCUUGAAAUUGUAUGCAGAAAUAGUGGGAGUGUGAAUUUUUGGGGAAUGAGGAUCCAUCACCAGCAAGUUUUUUUUUUUUUUUUUUUUGCCAGCAAGUUUUCAAAGGGGGCUGUGACCCAGAAGAGUUAAGAACUAUGAUUCUUUUACUAAGAUGGCCAAAAUGCUUCUUUGAUAAUUGUCACCUGCUUUUCUCAAAUUCCAUACCAUUGUCCAGCAAACACUAUAGAAAUGUUUGAACAGUUGGAUUUCAAACACUUUCAUUUUUUGGGGUGGUGCUUACCAAUGGUUCAGCUCUAAGCAAGUGAACAUAAACACAUGUAAGUGUAUUUUGCCUGGUUAGGAGUUUAUCUGUUUUGCUAUUCCAUACAAAUGUCUGAGAGGCAACAGAGUCCGAUGAAAGCAAAUUGUUUGGAAACCAUGCCUUUCUCCUUGGCUUUGCUAUGCCGUAAUCCCUUGUUUUCCAUACUUGGAAUCCUACUUCCAUCCAUAUUGUUGGACUAUCUGACGUGAAGCUACGAGAGCUAUGGCCUAGCCCCCUUUCCGCAGGCCGAUUGCCCCCUGCAGACUGAUCUGUGGAGUGCAGGGCUCCUGGGGCCGGGUAUAUGGGAGCACGUAAGCACUUGGCAGUCCGUUUGCCCCGACCCCAUGUUCCCUGUGGCAGCGGAACCCACAGGCUUCAGGAAGAGCAGUUGCACUUGCUGGCUUUGCUGAUGCAAACGACCCUUCUUUCGUGUAUCUGGUAUCCCCAUUCCGUUCCUGUACAUGACAUGCCUCUUCUGAAUUUGGUGUCCUGGCCUCUUUAGCAGCCUGCUCCCUUUGUGCUGGCCUGAUCAAGGCAUUUCUGAUGUCCUUCUUCAAAAAGUGGAACGUUGAAGCCAAAUCUCGUGCAGUUUGAAUGUUGAGAUUCCCAAAAGGAAGCGAUGCAGAGAGUAGUUUUCUCCAACUUCGGCUCUCAAGGCCUCCUGGGAGAGCUUCUCACAGAACCACGUUGCCUCCAGCCGUUCCUCCGUGCUUCUGAUUAGCUUCAGAGCCUGGGCAAGGUAUGAACGUGUGACCAUCUUGCAAGAAGGGAACCGAGGAUCGCAAACACCUAAUUUUCUUCAGGCCACACCGCCAGUUGGCGGCAGGGCUGGGCAUGGCUCGGCAGGGGUACGCCACGCUCCCUGAGGUCUCCUAGAAUGAUGAGGAAGACUCACGUCGCCUACUGUGGUGCCCCCAAGUACAGGAUGGCCGAAGGCCCUGUGGAUUGCCUGUGACACGUUUCUCUUCGGGGGCCAGGUGUACAACUAGGCCCGGUGCCGCGGUGCUGGCAACUGAGGGUCUGAAAGGACUUUGCUUAGGCCACAGGAUAAAGAAGUGUCAGACGUCUGAGUGGAACCUGGAGAGCUGGGACCCAGAACCCAAGCUCCUGGGCGGGAUGGAGUGGAGGUUUCCCAGCACGCAGAGGUGCUGCCUGGUCCGUGUCCUCCCAGGCGGAGCGGCGUCUUGUCCGAGGUCACUCUGAGGCCACAGCAGUGCACUGCUUUGUUGUCUCCUCUCAGAAAGGACGUGACGGACCCGGAGGUUGCGGGCAGGUAGAGGCCUCGUUAUUGAAGGUGUCGUGGGUCAGUCGUAUGCCCAGAAGCCAGCUUCUGAAUGAAUGUUGAAAGCAGCAGCUCCUCCACGUUGGCAUCUGGCCUGAGACUGCCACGGCUGAAAGCAGAAGUUGGGGACUUGCACGCUCCCCUCCUGUGAAGUGAGGGGACAUACGGUCUUGCCAGAGGACGUGGCCACAAGCGGUGCUGCAGCCAUUGGCCCUUUGCUCAACGAGGUGAUGUCGAUGGGCUGAGGUGCAGCAAGCUGGGGCAGAGAGCCUGUGCCGGCCAUUGCCGGCCUCCCAGGGGGUUUUGCCAAGCUCAGGAGGCAAGGGGACGGGACAGUGUUUCCCUUUGCCUUGGGCCGCUUGCCAGGAGCUUCAGGGCCUCUGCCGGCCCGCAGGGCCAGCCCAGCAGUAAACUCAUCGCAGACGCAGUGCGUGAGUGGUCUUCAAACCUCUGCAAGAGGAGAGGCUCUCUGGGAAGGCCAGCCUGGUGUCCCAAGAUGGCUGUGUUCGGACGCCUGCUGCCAGGCAGGCACUGCAGAGAGGCUCCGUUACCACCGCCAGCACCCCGCCCCCCUUCCGGAGGAAGCCGCGGGAACUCAGAGCUGUGGGGCUUUGUCCUUGCUGCACCUUCUUGGCUGCUCCAGAGGCUCGCGCGUUUGCCUGGCCAAAGGGUGCUCUUUGGUCACAGCAUCCCGAGGGUGGAUUCCUUGCUCCUGACCGGACCUGUGGACAUGGCUGUGCUUCCAGGGGAGUCCCAUGGAGUCACUCGGCACCUCGUUCUAUCGAGAUUGAUACGUGGACGACGUGUGCGGCAUGGCUCGUACCCAGCUCCACUGUGGCCGCUUGAAGCCUUAAGUACACAGCGAGGGCCUGCUCUCCUUGAUCUCGAGGUUCACGAUCUUUUGCAGCACGUUCUUGGAAUCCGAAUUCCAUUUUAGUAAUUGGCGUGCUGUCCUUGGAUUUGGUGCCUCAGACUCUUUUGCUUUCCUGUGUGUGGAAUCCUAAUUCCAUUGAUAUUGUUGAAAUCUCUCAUGAGCCCCGCUCCCUGCCCUCUUCGUACUCAGGCUUUUUCCUGGCCCCAGCCUGAUCUGUGGCCCGUUCUAGUGCCCCUGCAGAUUCGCGAGGGUCCUGCUGACCAGCCAUCCCACCAGGGAUAAUGUAAGAAGACGAGUGUACCUACGUUCAGGACAUGUCUUCUUAUCCCCAGGUUCGCUGUGGCUGAUGAAACCAAGGUACUGGGAAAGCUCAUACGGUCUCCUUGGCUUUGGUGCUCCAGAGUCCUUUGUUUUCUUCUGUUUGAAAAACUAAUUCCAUUGAUAUUGUUGAGCUGAAACUAUUGUUGCAACAAAGGCCCAAUUUUUUCCUCCAGUGUGCAUUUCAUUUCUUCAGUUAAGGCCUUCAGAGACAUGGUAAAUUUGGACCAGGGGAUUUUUAGUUACCAACACUGAAGAAACCCUAAGGUUUAAGAACAGACUCUCCAUAACCCAUGAGCAGGUGUGGCCUAAGCUGAGGGCCCUCUAUGAGACUGGGCCACUCCCGGACCCCCAUCGAUAUCGGCCAGGUGACUGGGUAUACGGGCAGAGAUACCAACACUGGACACUUCAACCUCGCUGGAAGGGACCCUACAUCGUGAUCCUGAACCACUCCCACCGCUCUCAAGGUUUACGGGGAUUACUCCCUGGGUCCACUACACCCACGUCCAGCCAGCUGACCCACACGCCAUUCUCAAGGACUUUGUUCCAGAAUGGAAAAGCCAACUGGACAAGGACAAUCCCCUAAAAGCUAAGACUGCGCCGUUCUCACUUAUUUCCCACCUCCAAGACUCCCUAGUCUGAGGUUGUCCUUCAAAAUAGAAGGGGAUUAGACUUAGUCUUCUUACAACAAAGGGUGGGGGUGGAGGGGUUAUGUGCUGCCUUAAGCGUAGGAUGUUGCUUUUUUGCUGGAAUGUAAAUGAGAGCGAGAAAAGCAACAAAGUUGGUUACAAUCCUGGUUUAAUCAUUCCCCCUGGCUCACUCUGAGAGCAACCUGGACCCAUGAUUGGGUCCUGCAUAGGAUCCUCUGAAAAAGGGGGGAAUGUGGGGCCCAGGAAAUUUAACAAAAAUCCCCUACCCCUGGACAAGCAGAGACCAUGCCCAGGGCAUACCCUAAUCGGAAAUCCGCUCAGUGAUAGGCCAGUUCAAAUGGAUACUUUAGGGUAAAAUGUAAUUCAAUCGGCCACCUGCUUGUGGACCCACAUGACUGUGCAACUUUCUGCGUAUCCCAUUGGCCACUGGUCCCCAUAAAGCUGCUAUGCCUUUUGGUCUCAGGGUCCAA